UACAGAGGGGACAAGCGUUGUUCGGAAUUACUGGGCGUAAAGGGCGCGUAGGCGGCCUGUUAAGUCGGACGUGAAAUCCCCGGGCUCAACCCGGGAACUGCGUCCGAUACUGGCAGGCUUGAAUCCGGGAGAGGGAUGCGGAAUUCCAGGUGUAGCGGUGAAAUGCGUAGAUAUCUGGAGGAACACCGGUGGCGAAGGCGGCA
rnacentral:rRNA from 1 species